rnacentral:lncRNA from 1 species
AUAAAUUAAAAUUUAUUCAACCAAUCAUCACAAAAAUUAUAAAACAUCAUUGGUCACACAGUUUUCAAUAAAACUAAAACUAAUAUUAAAUAUCAAAAUAUCAUGUAUUUUGAAACAUCAAAAACCCUCCAAAACAUCAUCUAUUUUGAAACGGAAGGAGUAUAAACUAAAAUCAACCUUUAAAUGUGUAAUUACAACAUAACAAAAUAAGGAUUUGAACAAAAGAGUACAACCAUCACCGAAGCAGCUAUAAAUCAGAGGACUGCAUACAUAAAUUUAUUGGAAAAUUCCGAAUCUUACAUCUUUUUGCUGCUCGAUUUAGUUAAUCUGAGUAAGGAGCCAUUAACAUCCCAUUCGCCUCCAAGCCAGUUCUAUUGCAAUCGAUGAAGCUCUUGCAGAAGAAAGGAGGGUUCCAAAAGCAUACCUGAUAAAA